AUCAGAUUGUUAAAACCCGCAGCGGGCUGCUACCGCCGUACCUGUUAGGGUUUUGUUAAAAGAACUCCAAAGGCGUUGCGACGGUGAACGCAGCAGCAACUAGGGUUUGUGUUUGGGAAUGGAGGAGGAGCAGGCGUCCCAGGUGGGUCGGUCUCUGAUCAAGCAGCUGGCGUGCUGUAAGAAAACCACCAGAGAGAAAACUCUUCGCCUCCUCCUCAAAUCGUGGCUUCCUUCGCAGUCACAACCGCUCUCAAACGACGACGCCAAGAAGCUCUGGAAGGGUCUUUUCUACUGCAUGUGGCACUCCGACAAGCCCCUCGUCCAAGCCGACCUUGUCGAUCGCUUAUCAUCUCUUCUCCUGUCCCUCCACCUCCCUCUCGCCGUCCAGUACUUUUCCAUCUUCCUUCUCACCAUGCGCCGCGAGUGGUCCGGAAUCGAUGCCCUUCGACUCGACAAGUUCUACCUUCUCAUCCGCAGGUUCGUCUCCAAGUUCUUCUCUCUACUGAAAACCAAUUCCUGGGAUCUCCAACUUGUGGAGAGCUUAAUGGGUGUUUUCGACGAGGGGACUUUCUCCGCUCAGGAGAAUAAGGCCCACGGCAACGGUGUUAAUUACCACAUUGCCACUGUUUUUCUUGAGGAGCUUCGCUCUUUUCUACCACUUAAGCAGCAGGUUCUGGAAGUGUUGUUGAAGCCGUUUAUUUCCGCUUUGGGGAGGGUCCACGAUAAGGUGUUGGUAGGGAAGAUUAGGUCUGGCGUGUUUGGUUUGUUGCUUAAGAAUGGGAAAGCGUUGUUGGGGGUUAAGAAGAGUGGGGACGAGAUUGCUGAUUCUAGUGACGAGGUUGUCGUUCUUGGAACUGUUGCCUUGACUAUGGGGUUUUCCGGGAGGUUAUAUGAAAUGGGUUCUUCUGCUGAGUGCUGGCAGGGAAAUAGGAAGGUGCUGUUUGCGCUGCAUUCUGAGUUUUUGAAGUUGGAGAAGGAGGCUGUGAAUUCGGGGGUUCAGAUCCUGAUUCCUGAUGUUGUUGAUGAAGAGGAAGUGCCGGAAUUGGUUCCAUUAGGGCCCGCAGAGGUUGUUGGUAAUGGUGAAGUGUUGAAGAAGUGUGAGAAGGUUAAGGAGGUGAAUGUUAAUGGGGGCGAGAGUACGGAGAGGAGGAGGAGGAAGAAGAAGAAGGGUGAUACGUCUGAUCUCGCUGGUGCUGCGCAGAGUGGCAAGGAGAAUGUGGCUAGUGAGAAUGGUGAUAAUGCUAAUGAUGGAAACGCGAUGAUGUUCAGUGAGACUGUGAUUGCUAACCUGCAAAAGCAGUUUGAGAAAGUGGCUGAGGAGACGGGUUUGGAUGAAGAAGCAGCAAGUGUGUCUGAAUCGCCUGAGGUUGUGUCUGCUACCUCCAAAACUGUGUCUAAGAAGAGGAAGAGGACAAAGAGUUUGAAAGGGAAGGCCUCCCAAGAUUCAGCUGAUUUGAAUGGCGUUGUUGGUAAAGAGAGUGCCGUGGCAAAGAGUGGAGAAAAGAGUGCAAAGAAGGUAAGAUUUUCAAUGAAAAAUAACUUGGUGUGGAAACCACACAGUCCUUUACCUCCUCAGAGUUUGAGGUUGCCUCCCUCUGCGACACCCAGAGGAAGUGCACUCAAAAAGGGUGUGCCUCCGGGUCCCAUCAGGGAGAUGCCACCUCCUAUGAAAAAGCAAAAAAUGAAGAAGGCCAGGAAGGCAAUUAAAGGCAAGUCUAUAGGUUCUUUGACAUUGGCGGUGCACUGGUAACAUGAUGACAAUCAACCCGUUCACACCUCGCGUGAUGUGUUAAGAAAACAAGGGAGGAAUACUAGGCGUUAUGGAUCUGCGGUACUCAAGCCUCCUGGUGAAUUUUUGAGACAUUUUGUUGACUUGUGAUUGUAAUGACAGCUCAUUACCCCAAAGUGGUUUCAUGGUACUUUAUUUUGUUACGGUGCUGAAAAUUAAUGGUCUUGACGCAAGCAAAUUGACAUCAAAGUGGAGUCACUUUUCAAACAUUUAAUAU